CUCAGAAGUCCUCUAGCCUAUACCCACCCAGGGCAGGCAAGCCCACCAGAGCAUCAGUGCCGGAUGAUGGGGUCAAAAGCAUAUCUCCUAGACAACGAAACCAAUGUGUCAGUUAAGAGGUGUUUGUGGGACCAGAGUAAGCAUGGAAUUGCAGAGAUUCUGAAAUUGUUCUGGAAGUAGACAUCACACAGUAAAGCAGUGCUUCUGCAA